AUCAGCAUUACAUAGAGAGCUUGUUAAAACGUGGAUUCUUGAGCCUCACUCACAGAAUUUCUGAUUCAGUAGGUAUAGGGUAAGGCUAAAGAAUUUACAAGUCUAACAGAUUCCCAGGUGAUGCUAAU
rnacentral:pre_miRNA from 1 species